GGAGAGAUGACCGAGUGGUCGAAGGUGCACGACUGGAAAUCGUGUGUAGGGCAACCCCCUACCGAGGGUUCGAAUCCCUCUCUCUCCGCCA
rnacentral:tRNA from 1 species